AUUGGAUGAAGAAACAGUUGAAAGAAUGCAACAUAGCUUAAGGGACUAUGUGAAACAAAUAGUGGAAAAUAAAGCAAAAGAAGAGUCAGGGAAGAUUCUGAUUCGCAUGAAGGAUAGAUUCUCUACUGUGUUCAAUCAUGAUGCUGAUUCACUCCCUAGAGUGUGGACUGGGAAAGAAUAUAUCAGAGCUAUUACUAGGGAUGCUCGAUCUGCAUCGCUGAAGCUUCUAUCAGAUAUGGCUGCUAUACGCUUGGAGGAUGAGAAGCCAGAUCGCAUUGAAAAUGUACUUCAUUCAUCUUUCAUUGAGACCUGCUAGUGCAAUAUCUUUCCAAAAUAGAAUUGAAGGGCCUACAGAUCCACUGGCUUCAAGCACGUGGGAGGAGGUUCACCCAAAAGACACACUUAUCACUCCAGUGCAGUACAAGUCCUUGUGGAGACACCAGUGGUCGCGGUGGAGUUCGUAGUGGUGGUGGGUAAGGUGGAGGAUGUGAUGACGGUCUUGCAUGCUACAGCCGUGGUGGAAUGGGUCAAGGAUUGCAACUAGGGAGGCGGCGGAUGCAGAGGCAGGUUCGGCGGCGUUUGUGCCGGCGGAAGCUACUACAACUAUAGGCAUUUCUGGGCAUUUUGCAGCAGACCGCCCAACAAGC